GUUUUUCUAACUGACAUUACAGUUCAUAUUUUGCUCUUCUGGAGAGUGGAGAAAAGAAGCUGACAGGAAUUUUUGGGGAAUGGCCAGGAAACCAGAAGCAACAGCCAAAGACCUGAUGUUAUGUACAGGAAGUCCCUGGGUUAUGAACAAGGUAUGUUAUAGCUUAACUAGUCAAGAAAUCUCUGCAAGGAACAUCACCUUUCUUCCUGCCCCUUCAACUCAGCUAGGAUGUUGUGUGAUUAUAGAAAAAAUGGACUGCUAAGACAGACAUAGAAGAAGGGGCCUAGGAAGAAACCAAGACAAGAGAGUCAGCACUCACAGAAUCAGAGUAAAGAAGAAUUGGAAGAGAGUCUGCAAAACAUCUACCCAACCUCAUUAGUAUAGUUAUCUAUGGCUAGAACAUCCCUGAGAGGUGGAUGCCUAACUUCUGUUUUUUUAAAAAAUGGGAUUUAAUAUAUAGGGCUGUGUAAGUGUUUCUAUGGAGUCCCUAUCUACAUACACUCAACUGAAAUAUUUGCAGAUGAUGAACAAAAAUAUUAUGGAAUGCCAUUGAACAUAAAACCAAACUAAAUUAAACAUGGAGUAACUGUAAGGCUUGUGUAGGAAAUUAAAGUUUCGUUAUGGAGGAAUAACUAAAUAGGGUAAUUGAGAAAGGAUCAGCGAAGGAACAGAAAUAAGAACAACAUUUUAUAUAAGAAGCCUUGCACAGACACAAAAGGAACCUCCAGGUUUUAUUUCCUAAUUUAUCUCUGAUUUCUGGCCAUCCUAUAUCCUUUUGCCAACACCAUUUGCUAAAGUUCUUCCACCAGUGGCCCCUUUAACCCAGAUUGAGGGCCAUUCCAUAUAGCCCUAUAUCCCAGAAUAUCAAGCCAGGAUAUCCCACAAUAUCUGCUUUGAACUGGGUUAUCUGAGUCCACACUGUCAUAUAUUCCAGUUCAAAGCAGAUAAUGUGGGAUUUUAUUCAGCUGCGUGGAAGAGACCUGAGACCUCUUGCAGUGUCCAAUCUCUGACCAACCAGGUUUGCUUAUAUUCCCAAAUCCUUACCCAUGCUAAAUCAGCAGACUUCUCAAUUACACUUAGAAAUAUUAUAACUUUGGACUGUAAUUCCCAAAACUCUCCAGCCAUGUUGUCUGAAGGAUUCUGGGAGAUGUAUCUUCCUCCACAAAAGGAAUACUUUGGAGGUCUGUGCUCCAGCCUACUGGUCUAAACAUCUCUUCACCACUUCUGUUCCUAAUGAAUCACUGCCUGUUUGUGCCUUCCUCCUUGGCUGUAAAUGCUGUCAAUAUAGAAAAUUCCUCAUUCCUUGACACUGGCACUGAUUUAAAUGGGGCAGAGAGAGAGGCUAUUAUUACAUGCAGAAAUGUGCAAAAGAACAUUUGCCACUUUGUCCUAUCAGAGGUAUCAUUUUCAACCCUUAAAGCAUACUCAUUCAUGUGUGUGGAUUGUAAAGAACAAUUUUCAACCAUAAGUAACAGGUAAGCACAUGUAUAGUAGUGAGUUAGAACUGAUCAAGCGUCUGAUGUGUAUUUGUGGAAAUAAUCUAAGCUCACCUUCCCAUCCGCUUUUAUGAAAUUCUCAACCCAAGCAGCUGGUGAGCUGCUGCCACUUCAACAGCCACCAAAGAGUGUCCUGUGUCUUAUCACUAAGAGUAAUCACAUUUACCUGCCA